GUUAUGCUGAUGUGGAAUAAACCGAAGUUUGUAUCCCACUUCCCUCUGUGGUUUCUUCUGCCCCUGACUCGACGCCCUGAGAAGCGUAUAACCUGCUGGCUGGACUAAAAACUGGCGCACAAGUGUUCUCACCGAAGACUGAGGAGCAUCUGACUUGAUCCCUGCGGCACAGGGCACCUUGAGGUGGCGUGCGAGGGAGACAGAGGAGUCGCCGGUGAGGACUCAACCCCCUCCACUCUGGUCGCUGUGUGUGUGCAGCUUCGUCAACAACACCCUGACCUUCAACGCACUCAGACCCAUAUCCAGUAAGAAAUCACAAUCAACAUAGCAGGUGAUAAGCCAAGCUCAAAAUGAGCGUCACACCAGUUAUCAUUGUGAGUGCCAAAUACCCUGAGCAUGCAAAAGAAAUCCAAAAACUGUCAACUAAAUGGGAAAAAAGAACAAGAAAGCUUAACCGAAGCUGGCCAAAAGAAGGCACAUUCGACCCACAUAUGUGUGAAAUCAUGGAGGUGAGGAUCGAAGACUACAAAGCAAAGGAUCACAGCAAGAAACGUGAGGAAAAGAGAAAACAUGAACACAACAUUAUGAACAUAUUCAAAAUGGAAGGACAACGCUACAGAAGAAACAGCAGAGAAGAAAUGAUGGAACAAAAAACGAUGCAAGUAACGUCUGUCAAGCGCAACAACAACAAAGGCUGCCCAGCCACCGCCAGACUAUAUCCCUCACUCGUGGGAACAGUGAAGAUUAAUGGAGACGAUGACACAGAAGAUGAAGACGUGUGUGAUGACAAAACAGGAAUGUUGGCAUCCAAACACAGAGAUGCCCCGGAUCAAUUUCCACCGGAAGAGGGCAGAGUGCUGAGUCCUGAACACCAGUCCAUCCCAAAGCACUGCAGUACCCAGGGGAAAACAGGUGGGGAAGUGAGGUCAUCAAUCCUAGACUGCUACGCCGAACGGAAUGAAACACUGUCCUACUGGACUCAAUUAGACCAUGUGGGCAUCGACCCUGAACACAGAGCAAACCUAACUAUAAUCAAAGAAAUCGAGAUGGAGUUGGAUGAGAAACAUGACAAGUCGGGUGAAACAAAGACAAGAAAGCAGGGGGCGAGUGGAGCUGGAAGGGUUGACCUGAGAUACCGACCAAACAUCAAGCCGCCUGACAGAUAUACAGACCCUGGUCAGUUUCCCGUUCAGAUCAAGGGCAACAAAGCUCACUAUAUCCCAUGGCAAAUGCUCAACCUUGCAGGACUGUUCGCCCGACUGCCAGAUAUCCACGAAGGAGCCGGAAAAUGGAUCAGGGAGUUUGAGGAGGAGAGCGUUGACAGGAUGUUGGCACUUGGUGACAUCAAGGCUGUGUUGGACAAGAGUUUGGGCGCAAGCACGAUGGAGAACCUCCCACGUCACAGCGGAAAUGUCUGGAUGAUAGACGUGAUGGCCGACGGGACUGAGUUCAAUCCAUACUGGCCAAUGCUGUGGAGAGUGCGGAGAAGUGAAUACCCAUCCAAGAUUGAUCCAAAGGCACUGAAAGGAGAACCACUUGGAGAGAACGAGAACCCAGCUUCGUACAUAAGCAGGCAACUGAAGAGAUGGAAACAAGAGACGGAGGAGGAAGUCGAAGACAGUCCUCUGCUAUCAACUCUGUUCCGCAAUUACAUCAUCGAAGCCCUGCCACAACAAGUACAAAGCAAGCUGGAAGACGUCGUGGGGUUGACAUCCAUGCCUCACAGAGAAUUCCGUGACCACGUUGUUCACGCCAUCGAGCGACACCGGAGAAAUGAGCAAAGACAAAAUGAACAAGAGAGGGCUCAACAAAGAAAGCUCACUCAACUACAGCUCACAGAUCUCCAGAACAGACUGAAGGCAAAGACUCAAGCCGAUGUGAUGGAUCAAGGUGCCACCCUCGGGCCAACACCGUCGCCACAGCCAGCACUGCCAGCAACACAGCCAACAGCGCCACCUGUCCAACAGCCACUGGUUGUUAACAUCUAUCGACAACAGCCGCUCGGGCGACGACCCACACAAAUGAGACAGUCUCAAUUUCGCACUUGGGGGAGAGGCAUGACAAGGCCAUCAAAGAUGCAAGGCCCCCCAGGACUGUGUUGGAGCUGUGGUGAACCUGGUCACCUAGCUCGGAACUGUCAGAUGACCGGCCCCGGAAUGCCAGAGGCACAUAGGGAAACGCAGCCUAUGCAACAAAGAGGACCAGUGAACCCAUGGGCAGGUGCAAAUUAUGGGUAUUAGCGGGGCCCAGAGAAUCCUAGUGGGGAGGGCCAGCUUUCAAGCCAAACAGGUGAAGCUGGCGGAGAACCAAUCAUUCAAGUGAAAUUGGAAGACAGGCAAGUUCCAAUGUUAAUUGAUACUGGAGCCACUUACACCUGCGUGAGUCCAAAAUAUGCCACACACCUCCCCGUGUCGGGCAAGUAUGUCCAAACAGUAGGAUUCUCAGCAGUAAAACAAACCAUUCCAAUGACAGCUGCAGUGAGACUUGUCACCGAUGAAGGAGACGUUCAAAUACCCUUUCGUUCAAAUUCUAGUAUCAGACCAAACCCCUGUCAAUCUGCUGGGAAGAGAUGCGAUGUGCAAAUUGAAAAUCAAAAUCUGGUGCACACCAGGGGGAGUGUACAUUGACAAGAGUGGAGUAGACCAGCAAAUGUUCCAGCAAACAAGAGGUGCAUAAGUGUACUGGUUAGGGGAUGUCCAGAAACCAGCAACACACACAUUCAAAACUUGGGAAUUGUACAUCCAAGCGCAGAUUCCAAACGCCAGAAAGCCUCCCUGGGACUGUCACUGCACAAUGUAUUACAAUCUGUCAUGCAGCAAAAUCCUGAAGAAAUAUGGGACGAGAUGACAAAAGGAUUGACUGUUGACAUAGAGGCUGAGAGCAUCAUAAUCGGACGGCAAGGUGCCAUCCUCAAAGCAAAAAUAACUUCAUUGUGCAAUGGUUCAAGGUGUUAGAAUCCGAACCACACAUCACACUUGUGGGGAAUGACAGUUUUGAAUCCAACGGUCUUGGUCCAAUGGUGAAAGCAGCAAAACAGCUAGAGUGGCUAGCGAUGGAAACCCCGAAAAUAUUCACCUCAAGUGAUGGAAGCAUGAUCAAAAUCAUCUGUGAAACCAUGAUGAAAGUAAAACCACAAGCGGUGACAAUACCAGAACUAACAGAAGCCCGUGUUUAACCAAGUACUGCGACAAGACCUCGAAGGUCAAGACAUCAACAGCACACAGAUACACAUACACAGAACAAGACAAGGCUGUGACCAAGGUCAAGACCGAUCUAAAUAUGGAACAAGUGACUGGUUUGUUCCAACGAGAGUGUUAUGUGGAUGAGUUCCAAGAACAAGCAAAUGAACGAUGGUAGAGUUUAUUUUUAGCCUUUAUUAACUUUGCUAGCGUAACAAUUCACCUGCAAUAACUGAUCAACUCCUUCUGCCAGUCUCUUUUCUUUUUUUCACAAUUUCCUUCAGCACCCGUAGUUACACCACCUAUCCGCUAGGUGGUAGUGCUUCUAUGUAGCCACUGCUGUCACCGGCGUACUGUCGUUGGCUGCGGCUCAGUAGUUUUGUAACCCUGUGUGUGUCGGGGGACGCGAAUGUUGCGGAUUCCAAAUUAUUUACUGAUAUUGAAGAGAAAAUGGUGAAUCUUGGUCUGAGCCGAGUGGACGACGCCAUUGCUGCGAAACAUCCGGUGGGUUUUCUCUGCAUGUCGAUUCUGACAGGACAUAAACCACGGUCAAACUCACCUCUUUGGCGAAUCUAGCUUGGAGCUUUUCGAUAGUCAUUUGUUUUGGAAUGAUGUAUUCAGGGUUUGGAGAGCUACGCCGCCUGUCAAUCCCACGCUUUUAUGAAGGGAACUGGAACGUUCAUAUUCGGUGUGGCUGGAUUAUUUGCUGUCCAGAAGGCGCUACAGAGGAAACUUCCAUAUCCUCUCCAGUGGAAUCUCCUAAUAGCUAUAG